GGUUUGCCUGCACCUGGAACACUUAACCAGAUUCCAGAUCUGUCCUGGCCAGCCAUGGGCUUUGUGGAAGGGGUAUCUGCAAUCAAGAUGAAGGCAGGAGGAUAGGUGUCAGGAAACCUGCAGGCAGGCUGGCCAGGCUUUGCAGAACUCACAGUGAUGGUUAAUCUUCAUUGCUUGUCCAGAUUUGGAAUCACAUGGUGAACACAUCUCUGAGCCUGACAGUGAGGAUGUUUCCAAACGCAGAUGCAAUAUGACAGCAGCCAUGAGAAGUCCUCCUGCAGUGACUUCCCCACCGUGAUGGCACCUUCUCAGCCCAAAGGCCAAAAUGUUAUUUCUUUAAGUUGCUUUUGCCAUGGAUUUUCUCACAGCAACAAUAAAAGUAAUGAAUGUACUUAGCUACAAAAACUAGCUGGAUUUUUGCUGUUUUGUUAGAUGCUGAAGAACAGAGGGUCCCGAGAAAGCUACACAAACCCUCCAUCACUGAACUAUAUCCCCACCCCACCCCUGCAGCCCAAGCUGGCCUCACACUUUCAGUCCUCCAGCCUCAGGCUUACCAGUGCUGGGCUCACAGAGGACGCUGUAGAGCCAUGAGCACUGGCUGGGUGAGCAUUGGUGCAGCUGGAGCACCGCAGCGCGCGCAGCCGCAGCUGGGUAGACACUGCGGUGUUGAGG
rnacentral:lncRNA from 1 species